UACUGAUCAGCUUGGUCUUUUUUUUUUUUUUUUUUUUUUUUUCUCCACUCUCCAGGGUGUUGUCCCGGCUGGAAGCAGCUUUGAGAGCUGGAUGUUUUGCAAGCCGGAGGCCGGCUUCACGGAGCUGGAGAAGAAACUCAAGAGCUUUUCCCAGAAGAGUGCGGUGCUGAAAGAGGUCUUGCUGGAGUUCAAGGAGAACCUCCGGUUCGAGCUGGAGAACGACACAGGUGAGCACGGUUGGGGUUUGGAAGGCUGAGCUUCAUUUUUGUGAGGCUUAAUUUGGGUGUUUCAGCUUCCCCGGUGGAGGGGGGGGGGGAAAUAUCUCAGCAGUGAGACCUUCAAGCUCUCCUUAGAGGUCACACAGAAUGGUGGGGAGUGGAAGGGCCCUU